rnacentral:lncRNA from 13 species
CUUCACACCCCCUUUGUCACCAAGUAGGGGGGCUCAGGGGCUCGGAGGAACCUCUCACCCUCACAGCAGCACCCAUCCAGGCCAGGGAUGGGCUGGUUGGAACAACCCGAGUCUCACCUGAGCACACCGAACAUCUUCUGUCAGGAAGGAGCUGCAGCAUCUCUGUGAGAGGUUUUAGAAGGCAUCAGACACCCUCCCAAGCUGCCUGUCCCCCUGCCACCCUUGGGAUGAGCUUUGGGUUUUGGAGGAACAAUUCCCUGUGCUUACAGCCACAGCCUUGGUCUUCCUCCACUGAUGCUCCUCUCUGCCCAAGCAAAGGUCCUGCCGAGCAUCUUCAGACACAGAAAUAGAAAAAGGGACCCCAGUUCCAACAGGAAAUUCUCUUUAAGAGCCAGAAGAGCCCCUGAUAGGCCAAGCAUCCUCUGGCUGCCCAGCUCUGGGAGCACGAUCAGAUAAAUAAAGUUAUUUUUGGUUUGGCUUGAUA